rnacentral:rRNA from 1 species
GACGAACGCUGGCGGCGUGCCUAAUACAUGCAAGUAGAACGCACAGUUUAUACCGUAGCUUGCUACACCAUAGACUGUGAGUUGCGAACGGGUGAGUAACGUGUAGGUAACCUGCCUGGUAGCGGGGGAUAACUAUUGGAAACGAUAGCUAAUACCGCAUAAUAUUGAUUAUUGCAUGAUAAUUGAUUGAAAGAUGCUAUUGCAUCACUACCAGAUGGACCUGCGUUGUAUUAGCUAGUAGGUGAGGUAACGGCUCACCUAGGCGACGAUACAUAGCCGACCUGAGAGGGUGAUCGGCCACACUGGGACUGAGACACGGCCCAGACUCCUACGGGAGGCAGCAGUAGGGAAUCUUCGGCAAUGGACGAAAGUCUGACCGAGCAACGCCGCGUGAGUGAAGAAGGUUUUCGGAUCGUAAAGCUCUGUUGUAAGAGAAGAACGGGUGUGAGAGUGGAAAGUUCACACUGUGACGGUAUCUUACCAGAAAGGGACGGCUAACUACGUG